rnacentral:lncRNA from 1 species
AAUGCCUUUAUAGUAUCUUCACUAUUGUCUACUCUCCAUUACUUAUAGCAACGAGAUGAACUUCAUUAGAAACAAAGAUCUCAAGUACAACGGUUGCAAGAAGGGGAUCAUAAUUCUAAGUUUUUUCAUUUGACCACCUUACAGAAAUGACAAUGCAAUGUAAUUAAUAGAUUGCAGAGUGACCAAGAUUUGUGGGUUGAGGGAGAUUCUGCGAUAUAAUCUCUGGUACGUGGUUUUUUUUAGCAAUUGUAUAUUGCCGAGUAAUUUAUUGGCAGUAGUGUUGUGGUUAACCUUAUUCCCCGACUAGUAACGAAUGAGAUUAAUGCUAUGUGGAUGAUGAGGUUAGGAAGGCAGUAUUUGAAUUAGACAGCACCAAAGCUCCUGGUCCU